CUUAAAUAAAGCAUAACACUGAAGAUGUUAAGAUGAACCCUAGAAAGUUCCACAAGCA
rnacentral:tRNA from 1 species